AGUGACUCAAGGACUUUGAGACUGCGACCUGGCUUCGCUUGAUGACCUGGCUGCUGUGCAUGGCACCUUCCUGGUCACAUUCCCCAUCCCCUUUGGACUGGGUGGUUAUCCCAGUCACCACUGAAGAGGCUGCACGUACUGCCAAUCUGGGACACAUCCAAGGACUCAAAUGCCUAUCCAUCAAGAUGGCUGCAAGACUGCGUUGUGCU